GCCCGAGUAGCUCAGCCUGGGAGAGCGUCCGGCUGAAGACCGGAAUGUCGCCGGUUCAAGUCCGGCCUCGGGCA
rnacentral:tRNA from 2 species